AGCGGAUAGUGAAUGAUAUAUAACAUAACAACAAAAGGAAUAGCUUAAUAUAUACUGAUAAUAAUCAUAAGUCUCCAAAAUAACAAACAUAAAUCAAAUCAUAUCAUCACAUCUCCGUGAGCUACAAAGCAUAACUGAUAACUCUCUCUCAUUAUAAAAUUUAUAUGUAAUAAGACUCACUCCCUAAAAGACUAAAAACCCAGUGGAUCCGCCGCUACUAAGCCCACAUAACGUCUAAACAACGCAAAAAAAGAAAAAAAAAUGAAGAAACCACUCUACACACCCAAUAAGCUAGUGACACGUAAUCAGAUAGAGAACCGGCCUCUUAAACCCUGAGAACUGAGCCGAACACCAGAGCGGAAAGGAGAGCGACACCAGCGGCGGCUAAGGAAGGCGAGAUCGAGCCGGCUCCGGAAGCGGGAGCUGGAGCGGGAGAGAGAUCUUGAGCCGACCCUGCGAGAACCAAGGCGGCCAGGACAACGGCCAUCAUCAGCGUAGCCAUUGAAGCCUUUGAGAAUGCCAUUAUUGAAGCCUUUUUUUCUCAGGGUUUUUGAGAGCGUAACCGAAGGAAGCUGAGAGAGAUUCUUUUUCCUGUGUCUGUAUGUGGGAAGUGUUAGUAUUUAAGACAUGAGAAGAAAAUAGUGAGGUUUAUUUAUAGACUGAAAAGUGUGGACGGGAAGAGAGAAUUUCGGGCAGCGGCCCGGAUUUUUCCAGUCUGUCUAUUGGUUUCUUGACAGCUAUGUUUAUUUGUGGGGCCCAGUUAAUUAUAAUUUCACGCGACCGUUUAGGGUAUCGAACGGCGAAGCGACGUCGUGUCGGUUCACGAGUGUGACUUACGCCGAGGAAAUAAUUGAUUCUUUGGGAUUGGGAAAAAUUUGAGCAAAGUAAAAUUACGGAAACAGCAGCGAAUUAUAAUAUCGCAGUCUGUGAUAAACUUGAUAACUAUCUACUUGAAUUGAUAGGACAUAUAAAAAGAACAUUGUAUUAUUUAAAGGAUUGAAUAAUUUAAUUGAUAAAAAUCUCUUACCGCUAAGUUUGGAGAUCCAUUUGCACUCAAAUUUGGUGGAGGAAAAUUUUGAUUUCAGUUGUGUUAUGUUAUUAACAAAAAUUAUUGUUCAAAAAAUGCCUUUUUGUAGCUGCAAUAAAUGAGAAAAUUUUAAAGUACUUUUUUUUUAUUAUUUAUAUAAAUUGAACGAAAUCUUGGUGUGAUUAUUUUGUAAAUUCUCGAGAACUUUUGGGGUGGGGUGGGGGAUUUUGUGUAUGAAUGUAUGAUGAGUUCAUUGAAGAGGCGAAUGUUUAAUGGUGGGAUUGAUGAUUAGGGAUCAGUGAUGGUGCAGUUGAUUCCGCUACAAAGAUUUUUGUAAGCGCCCACAGACAGCCCACGUGGGAUGCGGUGGCUCGACCAUUAGGAGGAGGACGCGUGGAGACGUGGAAGGGCACGGGCUUUUUUAAUAUUCGAAUUUUGAAUUUGAAUAAUCGGAUGUGGACCUGUGGACAGUAUGAAAUGAUCGUGAAUUUUGUGGGUUUCCAGAACUUUCCGUUUGGCGUGUGCGACUGUGUGUUCAUUGGCAGGCACAUGUAGGAGUGUUACGAAGUUUACGCGUUAAACGUAUGCGGAAAGAAAAUGGUUUAACUUUGGGUAAAUGUUUAAAAAAGGAAAUUUCAAUCAACGCUUCUUCUUCUUCUUCUUUUUUUUUUUUUUAUUCCAUAAAAGAAGAUCUUUAAUUUCUGUAAUUAUAUCAUAAUUGAGUCCAAGAAGAUCUGGCUGCAUUGUUGUAAUUUUAUUUAGUUAACCAUAUAAAUUUGAGUCCCGAAGUUAAAAACUUAAUUUUAAUUUUAACUGCUCUUCCAUCUUCUUUUUGUUUUUGUUUUUGUUUUUAAAUGAUCAUGAAACACCUCUUCUCAUUAAUUAAUGUAGAAAAAAAAAGGUUUCAACCACUCCUACGUAUAUUAGCAUGAUUUCUUUUUUAAAUAUUAUUUGAUUGGUAUCAUUGCAAAGUUAAUUUAGAUUCAGUAGUUUAUUUUGGCUAAAACAUCAUAUAUUUAAGAUGCAUCAUCAGAAAAUUGAUUUAGAGUCACCUAAUUUUGAGCUCAAAUAUUAUAUAUUUGCACUCACAAUCAUAUAAUUGGUUUAGAUUUAAUCUGUUUUAAGCUCAAAUAUGUAGCUAUCACAUAAAUAAUUUAGAAUGUUACAAUAUUCUAAGGGCGUGGUCGGGUUAAUUAUAGUGCAGUUGUAGCCUCUACCAAAAUCCGGGUUCGAUUCUUAGAGAUCAAGAUUAUGUUUAGGCUCGCCCACCUCCUCUUACUUUAAAAAAAAAAAAUUUAGAAGGUUACUAAUAUUUUUUUAAUUAUAAAUAUCAAUAUAUAUUGUAAUGUAAUAUUCUUUUUUUUUUUAAAAAAAAAAGGUCAGGUAGAAUUGAUCUCCCUCAUACCAAAUUUUGUAAAAAAUAAUUUAGGUUAUGCCGAUUCAUAAGAUGAGGGGUUCAUAUAGUUUAGUUCAGUUGAUAAUUUUUUUUUUUUGGUUGAAAAAAGAGAUAUGAGAUUUAAAAUCAGUUUAGGUGAGCAAGGACGGUUUUGGGUUGUCACCGAGCUAAAUUAAAAAGGAUUAAUGAGAUGAGACGAGUGGUUUGUUAAAAAGAAUAGUGCCACAUAUUAUAAAGUUUGUGUCAAAAAAAUUCAUCCUAUAAAAGAAGAGACACUCCUAAUAGGCAUGAAAAAAAAUACAAUAAAUCGUUUUAAAACAUAACUGUGACUAGAACAUCCCCUUGUGAAGAUAUAUUUUUUAUUUUUUUAAAAAAAAUUAUUUAAAUAUCUCUAAUGUUCAUGCAACAAAUACGAUGAAUAGUCACAAGGGCAGUCUAGAAAAAGGCAUUUACAAAUACACGGCGGGCCAACAAAGAAUCAUUCACCUUCUAAUCCUUCGAUGUCUGCUUGCAACUCAACUAAACUAACAGCAUUCCAAAAUCAGCAAGAAAACGAUUUAAGAACUUAUUUUGGAAUGCUAUUAGUUUUUAAGGAUUAAUGAGAUGAGAUGAGUGGUUUAUUAAAAAGAGUAGUACCACCUACUGUAAAGUUUAUGUCAAAAAAAUCCAUCCAAUAAAAGAAGAGACACUCGUAAUAUGCAUUAAAAAAAAACACACAAUAAAUCAUUUUAAAACAUAACGUGAAUCAAACAUCACCUUAUGAAGAUAUAUAUAUUUAAAUAUCUCAAAUGUUCAUGCAACAAAUGCGAUGAAUAGUCACGAGGGCGGUCGAGAAAAUGCGUUGACAAUUACACGACCGGCCAACAAAAAAAUCAUUCACCUUCUAAUCCUUCAGUGUCUGCUUGCAACUCAACUAAACUGAUAGCAAUUAGCAUACCAAAAUAAGCCAAAAAAAAAAAAAAAAAAGAUUUAAGAAUCUUAUUAUUUUACUCGUUAAUAUUGCUAAGCAUAUGGCAGCCCUGGGCGGCUGUGGAGUGCAGCCUGGCGUUGGAUUUGCUCACAGACAGGACCUGUAAGGCUGAAACAACACGGCAGCAACAAAGAAAGUAGUUUUAUUUACGUAAUACAAUUUUUUAUACCUUUAUUUUUUAUCUGCAUGAUUUAGUUCUUACACAGACGUGCUAACGAGAAUCAUCCAGUAGCUGGUGUCACUUGUCAACUACUCCUUAACUUAAAGAGCAUAUUUGGGAUUGUCAAGUAUUCCCAAAUUAGUGAUUAUUUGAGAAUUUGUUAUCACAUAUGGUUGGUUCGAGUUAUUCUCUCAGACAUAUCACACCAAUAAUCAUCAAAUAAGUGAGAAUCAAACAAAAUUUGAAAGCAAAUUCUCAAGUAAUUGGUUAGAUUGUAUGAAAAUUUGACUUGUGAAUAUCAAGUAACCUCAGAAUUAGAAUGACUGUAAUGUAUACAUUGGCAUUUACUAUUUACUAAUCACCAAUCAUAGCUUUCUAUUUGGCUCAAUGGCUGAGUGCAAAUCCAGAUGAGCAUGAAAUUCAAAUCAACUCAAAAACCGUUAGAGAAAACAAAAUAUCUUUGAAGUAGUUAUCACUUCAUUAUUAUCAGUAGGAUGAAAAUGAUCGAAGUUAAAAACGUCCAAAAUUAUUAAAUUCAUUUAUCUAACCUGAAUAAUGGACACAUAUACCACGUUGGCUGUCAUUCCUCUGUACAUACAAGAAUCUCACUGUAUCAUCAAAGAGGCUAAUCCUAUGUAACAGUCCUCUCAAUUCGUAUUAUGCAACACGUCUAUCCGAAAAGCUCCUAAUCAUCUUUCUUCCUCGGCUAUUACCAUUCAUUCAAAAGUCAACUCAAAAGGUAGACAAAUUUAUUUGUUAAAAGCCCAAAACUUUAGAUGAUAUAUUCAUCAGAGGUUGUAAAGCACUCGGUGCAAAUUUUCUUCCAAAGAGAAAGCAAACUGUAGAGGGCUGGUUAUUGUAUUUGCAAUGCUGACCUCCAUAAACUUUCUUGAAAAACUCCUCUGUUAUGUCGGCUCUUCCGAAUGUGGCUGGAUGAGCACCACCUCUCGACCAAUCAACCCAAGUGCUGCUUCUAUUUGCCAAGAGAUUUGGCAUUUGAAUAGAUAGCAUGGUGGGAAAAUAGUGUUCGUCCACAUAACAAGGUGGUCUACAGAAUUCCGCGAAUUUUGGAUAAUAUGUAGUAUCUUCCACAAUGUUGACUGCAAGCCUUCGGUUGAUUUCAAACCAUUGGGAUCCUUUGCGCCACUGGGUAAUGUUCACCACAGGUGCCAUGUUCGCAUUGUAGCGUCCUCUCCCAUAUGGUCCAGGGUCAUCAAAUGAACCCAUGAAACUAUGUUUGGAUUUCUUUAUGUAAUGGUAGAUGAGGGAGAAAUUAUAAAGAGGAAUGCAAGACUCAGAGACAAGAAUGAACCAUUCAUUGGAGAUAUCAAGCAAUGCAUUAGCAAGGAGUCUUCUCUCAGCAUCGCACAUGCUCAUUUUUCCCCAUUCAGAGAUCUGCAAAGGGAAGAUACAGAAGACAUUACAAUCUCCUCUAAAUUUUGGGAAAUAUUGUAUUCAAAGCUAUGUGCUAAAGUAAAUAGAAUAAGCAGAUAAAGCAUAACCAUCAAAGGCUUUCAGAAGAAUGCAAGACAGUUCCACUACCAAACACUUCACCUAGAACAUGUAAUGAUAACAUUUGGUAAAGGUAAUCAUAAAACCUGUUAUUUUCCAGGAUCAAAGGGUAUCAAGUAUCAAUUUUACAUUUGGGACAGGAUUAUGGUAGCUGCUUGUUGUUGAAAUGGCACUGUAGCAGAGCUAACCAAAUCAGAUCUCCAUUUCUUGGAGGAUUUGUAUCCUGUUCCAGUUACUACAAGGGGGCAACUCAAGAACAUACAUGUCUUCCUACUUGUCCAAUACAAAAACGUAGGGAGAAAAAAAAAAUCAAAUAAAACGCACUUCGUCGAGCCAAUAUACAUACAGACAGCUCAACCCUCCCCCUUGGUGUUUUGGGAUCCAAAAUUUUUCACCUCCACACGAUAUAUGGCAGUGGUUACCAGCCUUAGAUAAACUUACACUGUUGCAGUUCCCAACUUUCAAAAUUCAACCCAAAAAAUGACCGACUCUUAUUGUUGAUCAUUCACUCAAACCCAGUUUUGCUGGUGAAAGUUAUAAUGUAUGCCAUCAAAUUAAUUAGAAAAUGUUUGCCAAGUAACAUUCAAGAAUGCCACCAUGUCAUCUAUGGAUUGUCCGCUCCUGCUAGAUUCCUCGCAAUUUCUCAUGGACUCCAAUAAUCCGUAAGGCAAUCAGGGGAAAAAAAAAGGAGCAAAAUUUUAACUUGGCUAAGCAAAAACAGAAUAUAUUUAGUUUAUAAACAGAAUCUGUUAAUCAGCAUAUUCCUAUUCAACAGAGUAUUUCUAGACUUUGAUCGUGAAUCACCAUGCAUAUAAAAGUGAUGAUGCUAAAUGGGAACACUACUUUCUACUUUCAAACACCAAGAGCCUACAGAUGACUGAGAGGUCCUAAGAACUGAAGAUUGUUAAACAAAAUUCGGAAAGCUAUGCAAGCAUGCUAACACUAUAUAGAUCCUCAAAAGAAUAAUUCACAUUAUAGGUAAAAAAUAAAGUACUGCUCAUCAUCACUCAAGAGAAGAAGAUCAUAACUUACAUCGUCAUAUAAUCAAUAGUACAACAAAGAUGAUCAGAUGAAGUUUCCACCAGAAUUUUAAAUGAAUAAAUAAAACCUGCAAUAGAUAGAUAUAAUGUCAGGCAUACCUGACUUGGGAUUUGUCUGUUGUAAAAAACUGAUGAAGAUGGAAACUUGUUCUCGAAUGUUGGCAGAGAAUGAACAUAGAUAGAAUAUAGCCCUUCAUGCCCCUUGAAAAACUUCUCCCAAAGAGGUCCAAGAGGUAAUGGCCCCUUCGUCAAGAACAUAAAUGCAAUCUUUGGAACUCUCUUAAAGGGAUACUCCUUCACUCGAGGCACAAAUGAGGCCCUCCAAAAAAGCUCCUUAUCACUCAUUGUGUGCAUUAAAUUUGAUGGAGGAUUUAUCCAAUAAUCCAAACCAUUCGGUAGUUCAGGGCAUGCCACAAAACUGGACUUAACCGUUGUCACAACACUCUGGACUCCAAACCGACGAACUGAGUAUAUACUAAUCAACGAAAAGGCUAUACACAGAGCCAGAAACAAACCAAAUAACUGAAAUAAUCUCAGUGGCAAGGCCCUAAAUUGAUUUGUCUUGUUAACAACUGCAGGGUCUUUGCCUUCCUCUAGCGGAACAACCCUUGCUUGCAUCUUUAUAACUCUAAAUCAAAUCAAAAUUUCACCUUCUGCGUCAGAUCCAAAUCAACAUCCUAGCAUCAAAAGCACUACUAAGCCUCAAAAUACCAGCUAAUUUAUUCACCAGAGCUAGCAAAAAAAACAGCUUUUUUUAAAUAUUUGAAAUUUGUGGAAUUCAAUAUGUUUCAGCAAAACAACCCCACUUAGCAACAGUAACGAAAUUAGAUCUAGAGCUGACACUACAGUACUCAAAAAGCAAGUAUUAACAGAUAUAGCACAAUCAUCAGCUUUCACAGCACAUGGGUUUCUUGAAUAAGAAGCUCUUAGCAAAAAUCAAAAGUCCAGAUCGGACUACUUGAUAGUCUAUAGAUCAAACGAAACCAUUAACGUGAUUGGUGGGGUGAUGAAAAACAGUACACGAUGGUGAACGUUCAACAUACCAUGUAAAUUUGUUGGGGCUAUAUGAGGAAACAAAGUUUGAAGCUUUAGCUCGAAUUGCGCCACCAAAGAAGAGAAACAGAACGGUCAAAUAAAUGAACAAAGUUAGGCAAAGAAAAUAAGAGGAGAAAAAGAGAAAAGUCCUUGGGACGCCCAAAGAGAGAGAGAAAAGGAGGUCCAAGAAAGUGGGGAAUCAAGGAAAUUUUGAGUGUGUGUGUAUGUAUGUAUAUAUAUAUAUAUAUAUAUAUAUAUAUAUAUAUAUAUAUAUAUAUAUAUAUAUAUAUAUGGGACUUUGAAUUUGAGGAAAUCACAGAAUUGUAAUUAGGUGAAUUGUGAAAUGUGGAGAAUUCAAAGAAUGUUUUUUGAUUUAACACGUACAGUGGAAGUGUCUGCUUCGUCUUUUGUGGGUUAGCCGUCACCAUGUGAGAGGCGGUUUUUGCAAGGUAAUAAUACGGCAAUGUCUUGCUGUCAUUUUGUAACGUUUUGGAAAACAAAUUUACCCUGAUUCAUUUGCCUUGAUAGAUCCUUUUUUUUUUUUAACCUUUUUUUUUAUAACUUGAAAUAGAAUGAAAUUAGUCAAAAUUUAAAUUUGAAUGAUAUGUAAAUUUUUUUAAAAUUUUUAAAAAUAAAUAUUAAAUUAUUUGUUUUUUAAUUUUAAAAAACUGACAGCCUAUACUUUUACAUUUUUACCCUUACUAAAUUUAAAUGUUGAAUAAAUAAUAUAUUUUUAAAAGAACUUAAAUAUGAUAAUAACAUUAUCUUUUUUUUUAAAAAAGGAUAAUAACAUUAUCUAAAUCAUCUUCAAGUAAAUGAUUUAUGAAAUCAUUCACUUGGCAUAGGGUUGUUCUAACUUAACCAAUGUUUUUUAUUCGAAUCUUGAAAAUGCAGUUGCGUUAAAUACUUAUUGGAAGAGCUUUGACGCCCUAGUGGUCUUACCCAGCUCGAAUUUGAAUUAGUCGAGACCUAAUGUAGUUUCGGAUACCAAAUAGUUUAAUACACGAAAAAAAAAAUUUAUAAAAUUAUAAUAUAAAAAGUUCUUUAAAAUUAUCACAAGUUCACAAUGCUAGUGCGUAAUAUAAGAAAAAACUAACAAGAUACUUGGGAAGUAAAAAAAAAGAAAGAAAAAACUGAACAAAAAUUCUACAAGAAAAGACUGUCAAUGGAAUCAAUUAUGGACUAUCAAAGGCCAUAAAGGAGAUUCAAGAAAUCCUUCGCGUGAAUGUUGUGUCUCAUCAUGAAAAGUAUCUUGCCUUGCCAUCUAUGGUAGGGAAAAACAAAAGACAAUUCUUCAAGUCGAUCAAGCUUCGAGUGCUCAACAAAUUAAAAGGAUGGAAGGCCAGGCUCUUCUCAAGCGGUGGGAAGGAAGUAUUGUUAAAGGCUGUCAUUCAAGCCACUCCUGUUUAUGCUAUGGGCGUUUUCAAGUUGCCAAAAUGCUUAUGCGAGGACCUACAGCGUUGCAUCACAAAUUGUUGGUCGGCCAACUAUGAUGACUCUAAAUGCAUUCACUGGCUUUCUUGGAAGAAUCUUUGCAAGCCAAGGAAGGACGGGGGGCAUGAGAUUUAGAUAUUUAGGUCCUGUUUGUGAUUGAAGUAUGCUGUUAAAAAAAAUUAUAGUUAUAUUAUAAAAAUUAAUAAUAUGUAGUAAAUAUAAAUUUUAAAUAAUAAUUUUGACAAAAUUAUUAAAGAUAUAAUAGAUUUUAUAUUAUACAAGUGAAAAAUCAUAUCAAUCUAAUUUUUAACUUAUAGCAGUUAGUAUUUACUGAACACUUUAGUGCUGUAGCUUAACCUCAAUCUCAAACGCGCUCUUAAGUUCCUUUAAUUAAGCGCUCUUGGCCAAGCAAUGUUGGGGAAUACUACAAGCACCUGAGUCUCUUUUGGCCAAAGUUCUUAAAGCUAGGUACUUUUCCAACACAAACUUCCUAAGUAGCAAAAUCAAAAGCGGCUCAUCUUUUGUAUGGAAGAGUACUCUAUGGGGCCGUGAAGCUAUCAACACUGGCUCAAGAUGGAGGGUUGGCGCUGGUAGGAGCAUAUUUAUUUAUAGAGAUAAUUGGAUGCCAAGUCCAUUAUCUUUUAAACCUAUAUCCCUGAAGACAUGCAUUGCCGAGUGAUUCUAAAGUUUCAGACCUGUUAAUAAAUGGUAACGAAUGGAAUGAGCAGCUAAUAAAGUAAUUCUUAAAAGGAGUCCCCUUGCCACGAGUCCCUACUAAUGACAUUUUAGUGUGGCGUUAUGAAAAAAAGGAGGAUUUUACACAGUUAAGAGUGGUUAUCAAGUGUCCCUUAUUCUCACUCAUCCUAAUUCCCCUUCAAGUUCAUUUGGCUCCGCUAAUUGGUGGUAUCCCUCUUGGCUUUUAACCAUUCCAUCUAAAGUCAAGAUCUUUUUCUGAAGAGCUCUACGCAAUAUACUCCCUACAUCAAAUAAUCUUUUUCAACGAAGGGUAGUGGAUUCCCCACAUUGUCAACGAUGUUACAGUGCUGUUGAGGACACCUUUCAUGUGCUAGUUAGCUGUAAGUUUGCGAUGAAGGUGUGGAAGUUGUCAACUAUGGCUGCUCACGUCACGAAUAGCCCUAAUAUGGAUUUUGCAUUUUUUUUGCUAAGAAUUUGGAAUCUUCGCUGUCAAAAGAGGACUACUAAUCUUUUGUGAUGAUUGCAUGGUCUAUUUGGCACUCUAGGAACAUAGCGCUCUAUCAACAUCAGAUGAUGGAUCCACAAAAUAUUCUUUGUGGCUGAAGCUGUUUUGAAUUCGACACUGCUACUCAAGGCUCCCCAAUUCAAGAGCUAUCGGUCUGUCCAACCGAGACGGAUGUUGGUUGGAUUCCACCAGAGACUCAUUGGUACAAAAUGAACGUUGAUGCAAACACUGACAUCUCUAAUGGAAUUACAAGUUUGGGUGCAAUAAAAAGAAAUUCCAAGGGAGAUUUCAUGGCUGCCUCAGCUCGCAAGAAAUCUUUUCUUGGUGACGUUGAGAUUACAGAUGCUGAGGUUGUCCUACAAUGCAUCAAGCUGGCGACAGAUUCGGACUUCUCUCCCUUGAUUGUCGAAUCUGACUCGGCAAAUGUUGUUCUUGUUGCAAAAAUAGUAUAUCGAUAUGCUACUUCGAUGGCACAUUUUGAGUGGGUUCCACGUAGCGAAUGUGGAAAAUCUUGUGAGGUUUGGAUUCUACUCCAUGAAAACUUCGAAAGUGUAUAUUUAUGUACUUAAAAUGGUGCUUGGCUGAAUGACAAAUUGUCUCUCAAAGUGCACUCUUGAAGUUGAAAAUUUGAAAGGAAAUGAGUUUUAUCCCACAAGGGAAAAUAAGUCAAGGGAUUUGUGUUUAUAUAUACACUUACCCAUGCAUGAGUAAGAAUUAUAAGGAUAGAGGUUUUCUCCACACGCGCAUGCGCCGGGGGAGGGGGUGUUGUAAAUUCUAGACUUAUUUGGUUAAAUUUGUGUGCGUCCGUGCGUCCUGCGCACGCGAAUAUCAGUCCAAAAUCACCCAAACUUGCAUGUCAAACAAGUUUUUAGAAAUUGUAAUACGCCCAUUAAUUAGCGAAAUUGACACUCUCUGUUAUUAACGAUCUUUGUUUGGUUGGAAGACCCUCUCGCAGACAUUGUGGUACACAUGUAAACUUUGUAUUUGUCCAGCAAGGAAAUGUUUUAAAAAAAAUAAAAAUUGUCGACUAUCAAAGGAACCGAUUCACUCUUAAACUUACAGUACACAAUAUUACAUGCCAAAUUAUGACUAAUUAUGCCUAAUGCAUUAAUAUCCUUUCACAACGGUGAAAUCUGAAGGCCCAAAAAUAUUGUCACUUGUUCAAGCCAAAAUAUUGAGGCCAGAUAAGCACCCUAAGGUCAAUAAAUAAUUAACGAAAUCAUACUAGCUUUCUAAUAAAAUCUAUCGAAAGUAAUAUAAAUUGAAAAAUGAUGGAGCACUUUUUAACCCUAAAGGCCUAAACUCAAAUUCACACCUUUAAGAAUGAAUUAAAAUCUAAUUAAAAAAAAGAUUUUAUAAAAAAAGAUUAUAUAAGGAUGAGUUUAUUAGUUGUACAUGGGUGACUUUUUUGAUAAAUAUAGAAAAUAAAUAAUUAAAUAGAGAUAUUUUUGACAUUAGAAUUUUAGUCGGUUUAUGCAGAAUUUUUAAUUUAGUAAAACGUAAAAAAAGAGGCUUAUUUUAUUCCAUCAAAAUUAUCUAAAAACCUCAUUAAAUCAUAAAAAUAACCAUCUUUAAUUGACUUAAUUAAUUAAGUUGUCAUUUAAUUAGAAAAAGAUACACCCCUUAGUUUUUAAUUCAAUUCGUAAUUAAACAGGAUACGUCUCUGUCAUUUGUGCACAAUUAAUAACAAUGCUUAUCCAGAAUCCUUUUAAUCGGCCUUUAAAUUGAAUAAGAAGAUGUUUGGAAGAAUUUUUUUAUCUCUAUCAUAAAUUGUGAGCAAGAAGAGAGGGCAUAUAACAACUAAGAGAAAAUAAGUACAAAGCACGAAAACCAGCUCUGCACUUUUUUCUAGUUCUUUCAGAUUCUGCACUCCGUUUAUUCCCCUCCCAUGUCAUGAAGAGAUGGGUCUUUUUCUCUUCUUCUUUUUUUUUUUUUUCCUAAUAUAAUUUCUAAAAGAAUUUAUGAACAAACAGGUAUUUAUAUGCACAAUUAAUCACGAGUCGCACAAACCAGUGAUUCCUGGCCACGAUCGUGCGAUAUUACGACAUUGCUGAUUUUUUUUCUUUUCUUUUCGUUGUGAGUAAUUAACAUAUAGGGCCCACCAACCACUGCAUCCCGAGAUUGCGUGCCAAAAUCAUGUAAAUUGAUUUUGGAAGUUUCGGAGCUAAGUACGCGUAGCAUUAUUACUGGAGAACAUUCAGCCUUCAAUGCUACGAGAAUUCUCGGGUUGUUGCACAUUGAUUUUGGAAGGUUGGUGCGCAGAAUGCCAUAGAAAAAGCUCACGCAACUCAGGUAAUUAUUUUUCCACGUGGCAGCUACAUGGAAAAUGAACGGGCACAGACUCCUAAAGUGCCACUAAAAUACAGUCGUAAUAGAUUAUACAAGCAAACGAAAGUUUUAAGAAAAAUGAAGUAUCAUUUCCGCAGCCCCUGCACAGAUUAGGGGAACUGCAAAGACAUGCUUUGACAAGAACAAAUCUCGAUUUCAAUCAUUCAGAAUAUUGACAUGCUGCACAAGAAAUUGAAUUCAUAUAUUUUCUGACCAAUGGUGAGUUGCAUCCCAUGGAUGCACUCCAUCAGCAGAACUGUCAACACACCAUGAUAUUUGUAUCCAGAAGACAAACUUUCCUAAAAAACACAACAUCAUUUAGCGAGCCAUUAAUCAGUUGACUGCUGUUAUGACAGCACUUUAUGCACGUAAUCAGAAGUAGACAUAUUUCGUCAAGCAACUCCCAUACAUUGCAUACUACAUGUAAUCCAGUCAAAUGUUUCUACCUCAUUCACAAGGAACAGUUAGGGCGUAUGUACCAAGAGAAGAGCUUUACUUCAGUGCUUCACCACUUCAAACUUGAAGCGGAGGUUGGAAAUCAUAACCGGGCACUCUCCUUUCUCAUCGUACUCGGCAUAGUCCCCUCCUGACAAGUCAAUGUCUUCAUACUGAGUCCCAGCAAGCUACACAAACAACUUACAGUUAGUUCGACAAAGCAAAACCAGAACAAAUAGAAUUUCUUUUUUUGGGGUCAUAGAGAAUUUUUCCUCAUAUUAAUCUCAGAUUAACGAGAUUAAUUUGACUCAUCAUCAUCGCACAAAUAAAAGAUGGCUUUAGUAACAACAAAUGUCUAUGAGGAUAGAAGCAAAAUGUGCAACAAGAAAAAGCAUCAACAGUAAUUAGAAGAAGAUAUAUUGAUGAUGAAUCUUCUUAGCUGCGGCAAAACAUUAACCCAAAAAGUACCAAGUGCAUUUACAGCUGUCUGCAUGGGAAUGAGAUAGUUAGGAGCACAGUAGAAAAAGAGGAGAAACAUGUGUAAUGCAUUCGCCUGUUCUUAUCGAAUGAAUGCAAGUUACACUUCAUCCAGCUCAUCUUUAAUACAGUUAGUAAGCAAAUAGAAUCUUCAAACAAGGUUUCCAUUCCAAAGUCUGCCCACCCUUCGCCAUUCAAGUCAAGAGUAAGCCGAUAGGAGACUGAGAGAGCAAAAAUCUAUUGUCAUGCUCUCCACCUAAAUAGAGAGGCAGAAACCAUAAAGGCUAAACUAGAGCAAAUAAUCAAACAAUAUGCUAACACAUUAAAGAAAAAGCUGGAAAGAAUUUGUAAACUAAAGAGCUCAAUGUUGAAAAUAUUCACAACCGUGAAAUGCAUAAAAAAGGAUAAGAUGUAUCUUAAAUGAAGAUGGUCAUGCAUAAUCAUAAAUACGAACACUCAACUUGCGCUCUGAUAACACAAUGCAGUGCUCACAAGUCAUUUCCAUCCACCACUUGAAAUAUGUCUAAUGUUUAGUGUUCAAAAACUAUGGGGAAAGGGCAAGAAUAGAAACUUACAGAUUCAACUUUCCAUCCAACACCAAAGACGAAAUCCACAGGCUCAUAACCCCUGCAGUCGAAUAACAUCAAGGGGCUAAAACCCCCAGAUUGAGCAGCUUCCUGGGUCAGUGGUUUACCCCGGCCUGGGAUCAUAGUAACAGUUCCUUCUCUCCCACAAAAUUUGCACUGUGAAGAAAGAUAUGGAGCCAGAAAAUCACCAACAACCAGAACACAGUCAUUUUAUAAAUAGAGUGAAAAAGUUUCAUCUGUAAUAUGUCACAGCAACACUUGAAAAUACAGACAAUAUGUCACGGUCAUUUAUACUACAAGUCUCUAACAGAUUAAUCUACCCAAGAAACUUGAAAAUAUGCAAGAAAUCCAUAGUACCAGAUCCUCAUUCCCACACCUUCAAAGUAAUUACUCAAGCUCAACCAAAGAAACUUAAUAAUUCUUUUUCCAUUCUAAAUCCAAGGCAUCAAAAAGCAUAUAUAGGUCAUUGAACAGAAAAAAAAUACAAUUUAUACUAGAAGUCCCAAGAAAAACUAUAUCUUGAAAGCUUGUCGCAUGCAAGCAAUUUUUACAAGAUAUCAAAAGAGCUGAAGAAUUACAUUCAAAUCAUAAAAAGAAAAGCUCUGAAGUUCACAAAGAAUCAUGAGGAUACAUUAUAGAGUUAUGUUCUAUCAUGAUUCCAUGAACUCGUUCACAACAACAGUAACAGAAAGGCCUUGGUUUUAAGUCCAAGAAAUUGAUUUGUUACACUAUGCUACUGCUAAACAUCUCCAGUUUGACUACAAACAAUAAUAUACAUCUAAGCUCAAAUGGCACCAAUUUUAACUAGCUUGAUGAAUAUAUAUAUUCAAUUAGGGAUCUCUGGUUGUAUUAAAGUUGGGAAUAAGCUAACAGACAAAAAAAAAACAGACUCCAGUGCAGUGUAUUUUGUUCCGUAUUGUGUUGAAAUUUGUGUUUUCUGUCAUUUAACUUAUCCCUAACGUUAAUAUGAUCAGGGAUCCCUGAUAGAAAACUCUCUCUCUCUCUCUCUCUCUCUCUCUCUAUAUAUAUAUAUAUAUAUAUAUAGAUAUAUGUGUGUGUGUGCGCGCGCAAUAGUGAUGUACUGCAACCUAUUUUAAUCUCCACUGCAAGUGUAUAUUACUUGAAACAAUUUACAUUAGCAAUAUCUGGUACAAGUAUCAUGACUACAGACCAUCUAAUUGCAUCAUUUAUCUAAAGAUAAAUGAUUAAAUGAAAUAUGUAACUUCACUAAACUAAGCCUGAGGUACCAGUAUAACAGCUUUUCCUUCACAGUUUGAUCAUUUGGUUAGAGCAUAUAUCUAUUUAAAGUCCUCGCAAUAAGACAAACAAGAUCACUCACAUUUUAAUACAUACACAAAGAGAGGAAGAGAGAGAGGUAUUACUUUUUGAAUGAGAUUUGUGGUUCCCUUGCCUCCUUGAGUAGGAAGAGUUUCAGCCAAGCUCACACAAGUUUCUUUCUGGCUUAGUUCUCCGCAUCCACACUUCAACUACACCUCACAAAAAAUAAACAGAUAAACAUCUAAUUCAGAGAGCAUUGCAAGAUUAAAAUUCAAUUCCAACAUUAACUAACUAGAAUCAACAAAACAAACAUAUAAUAUAAUUUGAUAAGAGUGAUAUACAAUGUUACUGAAAAUCAACUUAUAUGAACAUCCAUAAGCAUAUAUAAAUCAGAUCUGAAAAUAAUAUGAUGAGUGACAGAGAUUGAACUGAAUAUAAUCAUUAUACAUAAAAACACAAACAUACAUAACAGGAGACAACAAAUUUGAACACUUAGAAAAAGAAUCAAAACAAAAAAUCCAAAGCAAAACAAGGUGAAGAGCAUUACUAGAGAUCAUAGUCACAAUAAUCAUCUGUAUUUGAAAAUCAAGUAAAAUGAGUAACCUAAAACCAGAAACCUAAAAAUAAGUACUCGCAUUCAUUUGGUGUACGAGAGAGAGCAAUGAAAACAGAAAAGAAAAAUCCAUACCGAAAUUCAUCCAUUAUGUGAAGCAAAGCGAGCAGUGCAAGAAGUAAAUACGAAGUAAAGAAGAAUCAAGAGCGGCGAAACGGAGGUAAUACUGAGGGAGAGAAAGAGAGGGGACCUUGAAGAAGUAAGAGAAGUUAGGAUCGUCGCAGCCGCCUUGAGGUUGGAGAUUGGUGAGGUUCUCGAGAUCGGCGCUGAUCAUCAGCAUGCAAUUCACCAUUUUCGCUUAGCUUUCCAGUGCCAAAAUAUUCUCUCUCUAUUUUUUCAGCGUGCUGGAUGGACGGAUGGGUUGAGACUUGAGAGAGACAAGGUAAGUGCUCGCCGCUUCGAUCGAGGGAAUUCUAUUAUACGCGCGUGGCUUGGCGAAUGUUGCCCGCCCACGGAGAUUACAUCGAUACGAUAAUUGUUUUGAACGACAUGUCGUAUUUUUCUUGGAUGGUAAACAGACAAGACGUUUAUACUUGGUGAAAAUGCUACAAUUUUGUAAUCGGGAUUUGUAUGACCAACUAGGGUCGCAUAAAGUCAGUAGAGUUUGGUAUACAUGUACAAAUAAUUUGUUACGUGCUUUGUAUCUAAGCUGGAGAUAGUAUUAUGAUUUUAAAAAAAUUUUCAAACGAAAAAUUUUAACGAAAUCUUUCAAUUUUUUAUUUCAUUGUAUUUAACUCUAUAUAUUUCUCUAUUCGUAGAGUACAUUGAAUGUACAAAAAUAGUUAUAACAUAAUUCUUAUUAUUUGUAUUAACAGUUACUCUAUAAACAAUGUUGUUGUGAAGCUGUUAGUUUAAUUAUGUUACUAGUAUGCUGACGUGGCGAGCUGAGCUGGAGUGUGGGCCUGCUGUUAGUUAGAAGCCGUUAUUAUUAACGGUUGAUUCCAAAAACAGAGGCAUGCAUAUAUAAGGGUUGGUUUGUGGCAUAGUUAGCGUGUGAUUUUAAGGGUGAUAGAGUGAGAGAUAAUAAAUUCUGUAAACUAAAGAUUUAAUCUCUGCACUCCAUAGAUUCUUUGUGUAAUCGUCUCCAUUAAUAAAGCUUAAGCCUUCUGCUGGUUUUUCAGCCGUUGAUGUAGGUACCUUGAUACUGAACCACGUAAACUCUUUCUCUGUGCUUGCUUCUUGGUUCUUGGUUCUUGUUGAAUCUUACUGUUGUUAUUUGUUUCUAAUUCUAGUUCUUGGUUGUUCUGAGUUGAUCCUAUUAUGUUAACUAGUUCAAGGUGGUUGCAUUUGUCGAUUAAGCAUUAACAAACUGGUAUCAGAGCUUGGUUCAUUGAGGCUGUUCUUGAUCAAAAUGACGACCACCAGAUUUGAUCUCGAAAGGUUUAAUGGUGAUAACGACUUCUACGUCUGGAGUCUUAAGAUGAGAGCAAUUCUCAUCCAGUAAGGGCUUGAUAGUGCUCUUGAUGAUGAAGAUGAAGAUCCAAAGGGCAAGAAAGAACAUGCAUAGGGCUCAUCAAUAUUAGGAGGAGAUCAGAAAACCAUUAAUAACAAGGCUCACAGCACCAUUAUCCUACAUCUCUCUAAUGAAGUGCUGAGAGAGGUUGCAAAAGAGAAGACUACAUCAGGAUUAUGGUCAAAGUUGGAAGACUUAUAUUUGAAGAAGUCAGUGGCCAAGAGAUUAUAUAUGAAGAGGAGACUGUACACCUUCUCCAUGAAAGAGGGAGUAGCUAUAAAUGAUCAUUUGGAUGAAUUCAAUAAGCUAAUCUUGGAUCUUGAAAAUGUAAACAUCGAUUUGGAAGAUGAAGAUAGGGCACUAAUUUUGCUAAGCUCCCUGCCUGAUUCAUUUGAGCAUUUUGUUGAUACUCUUUUAUAUGGAAGGCAGACUCUCAUGUUAAAGGAUGUUAAAAGUGCCUUGGAAUCAAAAGAUUUGAAGAAGAAAUCUAAUGGGAAAGAUCAAAGCUAUGGGGAAGGAUUAACAGUCAAGUCAAAGGCAAAUAAAAAAAACAGCAAAGAAAAGAAAAAUACCAACCAGAAAGAUAAAAUAGAGAAAAAGAAAAAUAAGAAGAAAUGUUAUUUUUGUCAAAAAGAAGGGCACUAUAUGAAGGAUUGUUUUGAGAAGAAAAAGCUUGAGAAGCUUCAAAAGGAAUCAAAUAGGAAGGUUGCCCUUGUGUCAGAGGAUGAAGGAGACUCAGAGGGUGCUGAUGUUCUAGUAACAGUAGAAAAGCAUCAAAUUGGUGAGUGGAUACUUGACUUUGGGUGCUCUUUCCAUAUGUGCCCAAAUAAGCAUUUCUUUAAGACAUUUAGAAGUAUUGAGGGUGGUAAAGUGUUGUUGGAAAUGACUUAGCUUGUAAAGUUGCUGGAAUUGGAACCAUUGAUAUAAGGGAAAUUAUCAAUCAUAUACCCUUAAAUGACAUCCAUAUCAAACGUGUGUGAACACUUUUCAAGUGUAUCACUCGUAUACCAUAAGUUGACAAAACACUUAUGUCGUCCACCAAUUUGUUAACUUCCGUUAGAAAGUUAACAGAAUUGUGACAAAUUGACUAUUUUGCCCUUGAAACUCAAAAUGAGGUAAAAAUAUAAAUUUACCCAAAAAAUUAACGUAAAUUUUCAAUACACAAUUUUUUUUUUAAUUUUUUUUAUUAACAAUACAUUUUUUUGAUUAAAAAAAUGAAUUAUUAAUGGUACAUAAUAUUAACAAUUAUCCAUAAAAAUAUCCAUAUUAUACCAUAAAAAAUUAUUAACAAUAUAUUAUUUACAAUUAUAUAUAUUAUACCAUAAAAUUUUUUAGUUGGAGCUUGGAAGAGUAGAUCUUCAAAAAUUUAGGUUAAAUUUUGGAGGAGUAGAUUCGGUUGUAAAGUAAUUUUUUUAGUAAUUAUUAAUAAUUAUCCGAUAAAUGGGAUGACAUGUCGUUUUUUUUAAUCAAAGUUUCAUCAAUUUUAAAAGACUAAAUUACCCUUAUGAUGUCAGCGCUUGCAAACGGAAGUUAACGGAUUGGUGGACGGCAUAAGUGUUUUGCCAACUUAGGGUAUACGAGUGAUACACUUGAAAAGUGUUCACAUACGUUUGAUACGAGUGUCAUUUAAAGGUAUAUGGUUGAUAAUUUCCAUUGAUAUAAAAAUAUUUGAUGGUGAAAUUAGAAACUUAGAUCAAGUAAGAUAUGUACCAAAACUUAAAAGAAACCUUAUAUCACUAGGCAUGUUUGAUCAAAUUGGCUGUAGUAUUAGAGCUGAAAAUGGUGAGAUUCAUGUGAUGAAAAAUGGUACUACCAUCAUGAAAUGAGUUAGAAAGAAUGGCUUUUAUGCUCUAGUAGGGUCUUGUCUCUUACCUGGAAUUACAACCACUAUGAGUAAUGAUAAAACCAAGCUGUGGCACAUAAGGCUAGCACACAUAAGUGAGAGAGGGUUAAAAGAAUUAGAGAAACAAGGUUUGUUUGGUGAAGACCACAUAUCCUCAUUAGAAUUAUGUGAAAAAUGUGUUUUUGGUAAAGCUACAAUGCAAAAAUUCAAUACAGGAAGAAAAGAAAUAAAACAGACCUUGGACUACAUUCAUUCAUACCUAUAGGGACCAUCACAUGUUCCCUCUCAUGGUGGAGCUAGGUACUUCAUAACCUUCAUUAAUGACUACUUAAGGAAUGUUUGGAUUUAUAUGUCAAAAUAGAAGAGUGAGGCUCUGAAGAAGUUCAAAGAAUGGUUAACACUUGUAGAAAAUCAGACUGGUAAGAAGAUAAAAAGGCUAAGAACAGACAAUGGACUGGAGUACUGCAGCAAUGAAUUUGAUGAAUUUUGUAAGAGCAAGGGCAUAGCAAGGCACAGAACAGUAAGGCACACCCCACAGCAGAAUGACCUUGCCGAAAGGAUGAAUAAAACCUUACUUGAGAAAGUAAGGUGUAUGAUGUUCAAUACAAACCUAUCUAAGCAUUUCUAGGCUGAGGCAGUUACAACAGCAGCUUAUCUAGUGAAUAAAAACCCUUCAUCAGCCUUAAACUUCAGAACUCCACAAGAAGCUUGGUCAGGAAAACCACUAGAUCUUACUAACCUCAAAAUCUUUGGCUGCAAUGCAUAUGCUCAUGUUAGUUAGGGCAAAUUAGAGCCAAGAGCAUUGAAAUGAUACUUUAUAGGAUAUCCAAAAGGCACCAAAGGGCAUAAGAUCUGGUGCAUACAUGACAAGCCCUCAAGAACUCUAAUCAAUAGGGAUGUGGUGUUUGAUGAAGACUCAAUGCUGCUGUCUAAAGUAGAAAAUGAGGUAAUGUCUACUGGUUCAUAUAGAAAACAAGAUGCUGAGUUGAAGGUGGAGCAUGUUGAUUGCUAUCAACCUGCAGAAAUGACUCUAGAGAAAUCUGACAAGGAGCUCAAAUCCUAUGAGCUUAACAAUUAUCAGCUUGCAAGGGAUAAAGAGAGGAGAACAAUAAAAAUGCCUAAGAAAUAUGGCAUUGCUGACCUUAUCUCAUAUGCACGGAGUGUUACUGAAGAACUAAGUGGUGAAGAACCUAUGAGCUAUAAGGAAGCCAUGUGUAGAAGAGAUAAAGCUAAAUGGCUUGCUGCAAUGAAAGAAGAAUUAGCCUCUCUUAAGAAAAACAACACCUGGAUCUUGGUAGAAAAACCCUUCAAUAAAAGACUAGUAGGCUAUAAAUGGAUUUAUAAGCUCAAGGAUGGAGAGUCUGCUGAUAAACAACCCAGGUACAAGGCAAGACUGGUAGCUAAAGGCUUCACACAGAAAGAAGGAGUAGAUUUUAAUGAAGUGUUCUCACCAGUGGUAAAAAACAGCUCCAUAAGGUUGUUGCUUGCUGUUACUACUUUUCUUGACCUGGAGUUAGACCAAAUGGAUGUAAGAACUGCCUUUUUACAUGGUAACCUUGAUGAAGAAAUCUUUGUGACACAACCUGAGGGUUUCAUAGAAGAAGGGACUGAAGAUAUGAUGUGUUUACUUAAGAAAAGUUUAUAUGGCUUAAAGCAGUCUCUAAGGCAGUGGUAUUUGAGAUUUGAUUAGUUUAUGAGCAGCCGUGGUUACAGCAGAAGUCAGUAUGACACUUGUGUGUACUACAGAAGCUUGACUCAUGACAGCUACAUCUACUUACUUCUCUAUGUGGAUGACAUGCUCAUUGGAUGCAACCAGAGGGAAGCCAUAGAGGAACUCAAAAUGCAGCUCAGCACUGAGUUUGAAAUGAAAGAUUUAGGUGCUGCAACGAAAAUUCUGGGUAUGCAGAUUGUAAGAGACAGACCAGCAAGAACUUUGUUCUUUACUCAGGCUGGUUAUGUAAGGAGAGUGCUCAAUAGGUUCAUCGUGGACAGUGCUAAACCUGUGUUGACACAUCUGUCAACUCAUUUUAAGCUCUCUAAGCUCUAUGAGCCAACAACUGAUGUAGACAUAGAAUAUAUAAAGAAUAUUCUCUAUUCAAAUGCAGUGGGGAGUGUUAUGUAUGCUAUAGUCUGUUCCAGGCAGGGGUGUCAAAAACCCCGCCCGGACCGGAUCUGACCUGAACCCGGCCAAUCCGGUCUGGGAAAAAUCCGGACCGCAUAUACUGAAAAAGUGGAUCCGGGUUUCAGAAUUUAAAACCCGGACAUUUCCGGACAUGGUCCGGGUUCAGCACUAAAAACCCAAAACCCGAACCCGGACCCGUUUUCCGAAUAAACUUAAAAAAAAAAACUAAAACUAGUUACCCAAACCCAAAUCGCAAAACACCUAAAUCCGAAAUCCCUAAUUCCCCAAAUCGCAAAACACCCAAACCCAAAGGCAUAAGCAGCGAUGCUACCACCGUCACCGUUGGCUAGCACCCACCGUCAGUCCGUCACCGUCGCCCCUCGGCAGUCGGCAGUCGGUAGUCGGCAUCAUCUCUUCUCGUUUGGCAUUUACUGACUCGGUUUUGCUCGAUUUUGCUCGGUUGUGGCUGUGACGGGAGUUGUUCGUGCAGCGGCAGCAGCGCAGUGCAGCCCCCUCCGGCGCCGUCAGCGUCAGCGUCUGCGCCACCGUCUCCAACUCUCCAUUGCCACUUUGUCAUCCACCAUCAGUCCAUCACUCUGCCAUCACAGCCACCACUACCAGCCGCAGGUAUUGAUUUUUUUCCUUCCAUAUUUUGUCUUCCUAGUUGCAUUUUUGCCAAUUGCUUCUCCAUUGGUGUUGGUUGUUGCUAUUCGUGUUUAUCUUCGGCCAAUUUUGUGCAUUUUGACCGUAGAAUAUGAGGAAAAUAUGGCCAAUUUUGUGAGGGAUCCUUAUUGCCUGCUCGUAUAAUGACAAUGUUGAUAAGCAGAGAAAAUAAUAAUCACGGGAAAAGCAAUUUUGUGCAUGGUUGCUGACUUAUAGUGUGAGCCUGUGAUUACUGUAACUGUUGCUCUUUUUUUUCGGCCAAAUCCUUUUGCCUAUUUUAAUUUUAUGUUGCUGAUUUACUGUGAGCCUAUUAGUUAUGUAAUCUGUGAGCCUGUUAGUUAUGUAAUGAUAAGUUUAUUCGUGUUUAUCUUCGACCAAUUUUGUGCAUGGUUGCCGACUUGCUGUGAGCCUGUGAUUACUGUAACUGUUGCUCUUUAAAUCAAUUCUUCGAGUGCUCCAGAUUUAUCUCGUAAUGUUGAAGAUAAAAUUGAUAAUGAGGUUGAGGAAAUUUCAGUGUCAACCGUGAAUGAUAAGAAAAGUAAGGAAGAAACUAGAAAAAAGAAGAAAGUCUCCGAAGCUUGGGAGCACUUUACAAAAAUAAUGGUAAAUGGAGAACAAAAGGCAAAGUGCAUGCAUUGUAGUGCAAUUUUAAAAGCAAAAUACCAAUCUGGGACUUCAACUUUGAAUAGGCACGUGGCAAUGUGUUUUAAGUAGAAUCAACCAGACAUAGAAGAAGCACUUCAAGGAAGCCUUAAAGUGAUUAAAAGAGAGGAUGGAACUUGUGGCAUUAGUUAUGGCAGUUUUGAUCAAAAUGUUUUACGGAGUUUGAUAGCAAGAAUGGUUAUAAUGCAUGAGCUUCCACUUACAUUCGUAGAAUAUAUAGGCUUCCGAGAAAUGAUGACACACAUAUAGGCUUCCGAGAAAUGAUGGCACAUGCUAACCCCGUGGUUAAGCCAAUGAGCAGAAACACUUUGAAGAGCGAAAUCUUGAAGUUAUAUCAAAUCGAGAAGGUUAAGACUUUGCAUUUAUUGGGGAAAAAUCAUGGUAGAGUAGCCAUUACUACAAAUUUAUGGACAGCUAGUAAUCAGAAAAAUGGAUAUAUGGUCGUGACGGCCCAUUUCAUAAUGACAAUGUUGAUAAGCAGAGAAAAUAAUAAUCACGGGAAAAGCAAUUUUGUGCAUGGUUGCUGACUUAUAGUGUGAGCCUGUGAUUACUGUAACUGUUGCUCUUUUUUUUCGGCCAAAUCCUUUUGCCUAUUUUAAUUUUAUGUUGCUGAUUUACUGUGAGCCUAUUAGUUAUGUAAUCUGUGAGCCUGUUAGUUAUGUAAUGAUAAGUUUAUUCGUGUUUAUCUUCGACCAAUUUUGUGCAUGGUUGCCGACUUGCUGUGAGCCUGUGAUUACUGUAACUGUUGCUCUUUUUUUUUGGCCAAAUCUUUUUGUCUUUUUUAAUUUUAUGUUGCUGACUUGCUGUGAGCCUGUUAGUUUUAUGUCUCUGUCUCUCUUUUCUGUUCACUUUUUCGUUUCCACACUAAAAUCUGAAAUUUAGUAUAUCUUUGCUAUUGUAACAGCAGAGUAGUGCAAUGUCGGACAAUGUGAAAAUCAAUUCUUCGAGUGCUCCAGAUUUAUCUCGUAAUGUCGAAGAUAAAACUGAUAAUGAGGUUGAGGAAAUUUCAGUGUCAACCGUGAAUGAUAAGAAAAGUAAGGAAGAAACUAGAAAAAAGAAGAAAGUCUCCGAAGUUUUGGAGCACUUUGCAAAAAUAAUGGUAAAUGGAGAACAAAAGGCAAAGUGCAUGCAUUGUAGUGCAAUUUUAAAAGCAAAAUACCAAUAUGGGACUUCAACUUUGAAUAGACACGUGGCAAUGUGUUUUGCAGAAUUAACCAAACAUAGAAGAAGCACUUCAGGGAAGCCUUAAAGUGAUUAAAAGAGAGGAUGAAACUUGUGGCAUUAGUUAUGACAGUUUUGAUCAAAAUGUUUUACGGAGUUUGAUAGCAAGAAUGGUUAUAAUGCAUGAGCUUCCACUUACAUUCGUAGAAUAUAUAGGCUUCCGAGAAAUGAUGACACACGCUAACCCUGUGGUUAAGCCAAUGAGCAGAAACACUUUGAAGAGCGAAAUCUUGAAGUUAUAUCAAAUCGAGAAGGUUAAGACUUUGCAUUUAUUGGGGAAAAAUCAUGGUAGAGUAGCCAUUACUACAAAUUUAUGGACAGCUAGUAAUCAGAAAAAUGGAUAUAUGGUCGUGACGGCCCAUUUCAUUGACAAUUCCUGGAAAUUGCAUAGUCGAAUCUUAAGGUAAUUUGUCUAUAAUUUUUUAUUUGCUUAAUUUUUCUUUUUAGUUUAUUAUUACUUAUAUUAGAUUUUUUUUUCAAGUUUAAAUUGUAAUAUAUUUUAAGUUUGUGUAUUUAAUACCGACUUUUGAAUAUUUGAUAGGUUCGUCUAUGUUCCAAGCCCCCAUACUGCUGAUGCCCUUUGUAAUGAGUUAGUACAAUGCCUAUUGGAUUGGAACGUGGAUAGAAAGUUAUCCUCAGUGACAUUGGAUAAUUGUACCACUAAUGACGCAAUGGUGGAGAAAUUAUUGUUAAUGUUUGAUACCGAUACCUUAAUUUCUAGUGGUAAAUUUUUUCAUAUGAGAUGUACUGCUCAUAUAUUGAACUUGGUUGUGCGGGAUGGGUUGAAAGUUAUAGAAAGUGAGAGUGGAAAGAUUAGAGAGAGUGUGAGUUAUUGGACACAAACACAAAAGAUAUGAAACUUUUGAGUUAGCUGCUAGACAAUUACAAAUUAAUUGUAAAAAAAAAUUGAAAUUGGAUUGUCCUACUCGUUGAAACUCUACUUAUGCCAUGCUUGAAGUAGCAUUGAUGUAUAAAAGUAUUUUUUCUCGGUUGCAACAACGUGAGCCUCAGUAUAAGAGCUUGCCAAGUGAUGAGGAGUGAGAUUUGACAGUCAUAAUGGUGGAGCAUUUGAAAUCAUUUUGCAUAUUAAUGGAGAUGUUUUCGGGUAAAAAAUAACCAACUGCUAAUUUGUUUUUUCCGUUGAUAUGUAAAAUGAAAUUGUCAAUUAAUAGGUGGCGCACUGCUGAUAACCUUGCUAUUAGGAUUAUGGCUGAUAAAAUGGCUGAUAAAUUUGACAAAUAUUGGAAUGAAAUUCAUCCGAUGUUAGUUGUGGCUGUUGUGCUUGACCCAAGAUAUAAGAUGAUGUUAAUUCAUUUUUAUUUUCCAAAGAUAUAUGGUGAUACAGCAGAUGAGCUUAUUGAGUGUGCACAUAAGCUUUGUUAUGAUUUAGUGAAAGAAUAUGAAUCGAAGGCAGUGCAUGUGAGUGAUGGGCAGAAUGUUGGAUUGGAAAUUUCUCAUUCUGAAUCUUGUUCGAAUUCGAAUAAGUAUUGGGAUGUAGAUGAGUUUGAAACAUUUUGAAGCCAAAAUAAACGUGCUAAGGUAACUAAGUCGGAGUUGGAUAGGUAUUUAGAUGAGGAAUUGUUGGAUUCUAUUCCGGACUUUGAUAUUUUAGCUUUUUGGAAGAUGCACACAAGCCAAUAUCCUAUUUUGGCUGAGUUAGCUAAGGAUAUCUUAGCCAUUCCUGUAUCCAUCGUUGCCUCUGAGUAAGCUUUUAGUGCUAGGGGCAGAUUUUUUAGUCUGCAUUGUAGUAAACUUCUUCCUGACACUUUGGAAGCCUUAAUGUGUGCUCAAAAUUGGAUUUGGGCUUCUACUUUUGGAGGUAUAAAGUUAUUUGAAUUAUAUUUUAGUAGUAUUUAUUUGCUUAAAAUGCUUUGAAUUUUAAUGUGUUAUUUUUGUUGUAAGGUGGAGUUUUGGAGGAUGAGAUUUUUACUGGGGAGGAGGUAAUUUCGGAUGAUGAUGAUGAGCCACAAGCGUCGAUGAGUAGCAUGACAUGAACUUUUAUUUAUUUAUUUGGAAUUAGACAUGAACUUGUUAUUUAUUUAUUUUACAUGGGGGUGUUUUGACUCUUUUAUGAACUAUUGUUUGAGUUGUUGAACAUUUUAGGAUUUUCAUGUGUUGUAUUGAUAAUUGGUGUCAUAAUUAUGAACUUAUGAUAUGUUGGAUGUUAUUUAGAUUUAUUGUGUUAUUGAAUUUAAUUUUUUUUAUAUAUAUAGAUUGAAUGAGUUUAGGUUAGAAGUUAGAUGAAUUUUUAUUUAUUAUUUGUGCAAAAAUUGUAUUGUUAGUAUGUUAUAAGUUUGUAUUUAACUAUUUCUCUAAUUUCUCUUUGACUUAAGUUUGAGAUUUAUCUUGUAUUAUGAUACACAAGAAAUGUGCAUGCAUGUUGUAUUGUUGUUUCACUUGUUUGGUGAUAUUUAGGUGUCAUACAAAGACAUAAAAAUGAAAGAAAUUUUUUUUGAAAUAAUUGUUUGCGGGCUUAGAAGCCCGGAAGACAAAACCCGGACCCGGGACACGUCGGGCUCAAGCCCGGACCGGACAUGCAAAAGCCGGGUUUUGUCCGGGUCCGGGUUUCAAUUUUUGGCGUCCGGUUCGGUCCCGGGUUGCACCAAACCCGGACCGGACCUGGGGUUUUGCCAAGCCUAGUUCCAGGCCUGAUAUAGCAUAUGGUGUUGGAGUUGUCAGCAGGUUCAUGGGAAAUCCAGGCAAAGAGCACUGGAAUGGAGUCAAGUGGAUAUUGAGAUAUCUUAAGGGGACUUCUGAUCAUGGAAUUUUGUUUGGGAAAGUCAAUGGAGCCACCUGUGAGGUUGCUGGUUUUGUAGACUUAGACUUUGCAGGUGAUCUAGAUAAAAGAAUAUCCAUAACUGGUUUUGUUUUUACCAUGUGUGGAGGUGCUAUUAGCUGGAAAGCUUCACUGCAGUCAGUUAUUGCUCUCUCAACAACUGAAGCAGAAUACAUUGCUCUAACUGAGGCAGUAAAGAAGGCAAUCUGGCUGAAGGGUUUAGUUUCUGAGUUGGGUUUCAAGCAAGAGACAGUCACAAUUAGCUGUGAUAGCUCUAGUGCUAUACAGUUAAGUAAGAAUCCCAAGUAUCAUGAGAGAACUAAGCAUAUAGACGUGAUGUUACACUUUAUAAGGGAGGAAAUCAGUAGUGGUGUGGUGAGUGUUGUCAAAAUACCUUCUAAGGUUAAUCCAGCUGACAUGCUUACUAAGCCACUACCAACAAUUAAGUUCACGAGUUCUUUGAACUCGAUUGGACUUGGUAACAUGUGAACUAAGUCUCAAAUGCUGAAACAGAGGUGGAGGAAAGCUUGAAGUCAGAAUAAACUAAGGUGGAGAUUUGUGAAGCUGUUAGUUUAAUUCUGUUACUAGUAUGCUGACGUGGCGAGCUGAGCUGGAGUGUGGGCCUGCUGUUAGUUAGAAGUCGUUAUUAUUAACGGCUGAUUCCAAAAACAGAGGCAUGCAUAUAUAAGGGCUGGUUUGUGGCAAAGUUAGCGUGUGAUUUUAAGGGUGAUAGAGUGAGAGAUAGUAAAUUCUGUAAACUAGAGAUUUAAUCUCUGCACUCCAUAGAUUCUUUGUGUAAUCGUAUCCAUUAAUAAAGCUUAAGCCUUCUGCUGGUUUUUCAGCCGUGGUUGUAGGUACCUUGGUACUAAACCACGUAAACUCUUUCUCUGUGCUCUUCUUCUCUUUGCUUGCUUCUUGGUUCUUGUUGAAUCUUGCUGUUGUUAUUUGUUUCUAAUUCUAGUUCUUGGUUGUUCUGAGUUGAUCCUAUUACGUUAACUGGUUCAAUGUGGUUGCAUUUGUCGAUUAAGCAUUAACAGUUGUUUUGCGGUGCUAAUGACUUAACACUAUUUUUAUAGUUUCAGAAUGUUUCUUUUAAGGCAUAUUGGUUGUUAUUCGCUCUAUAGUCUAUAGAGACAUGUUUUAUAUUUGAUAGGUGAACGACAUCUACCCCGGAGGCGAAUUUGAAGACCGUGCAAGUACGUCUUCUUCGCAAGUCUAGCUAAUUAUUUCGCAUGCAGUUUUCAGUGUUAUGGGCUGUUCUUCGAAAACCCAAAACCAUGCCUAGCAGAUUGCUUGAUGAAACGGUGCCGUUUAACACUUUCAAUAAUUUAAACAUGGAUGUUGAGCCACACACACACACGUAUAUGAAAUGUCUGUUUAUUCUCUUUCUCCUAGCUAGCCGAUGACAAUGAACUCACAAAACAAAUUAAACUUGCAUGCGCACAGUAUGCAAAUUAAGAAGGCGCCAUCUGCAGAAGCCACUUGAAAUGGCACAUGCUGCAUCUCAAAUAUUGAAGAUGCGUCAUGCAUGUAAACUUAAAGCGAAUGAGAGUAGAAAGGUGAAUCAUGCAAAUUUGGUGUCUUCAAAAUUGCGCUCCAACUAAUAUUAACAGCAAAGAAUUUUCCAUGUCACUUCUGUUUGAUUACCAAAAGUAUAUAUGUGCUGCCUUUUAAGGAGUUCUUGUAUAUUCAAUAAUCAUUGUUGUGUAAAAAGAAAAUUAUUCUAACUUCUACUUAAUUGCAUUUAUAUGUUGUGAAUUUAAAAUAAUUGGUGAAAAGGUUCUGUGAUCCCAUGGAGUAUAUACUGGGAUGCAAAGGGUUCAUAAUUCUACUAGGAGUAACUUUUGUAAUAAGUUAUGAGUUUGCAAAGGGUGAGAUAAUCUCCGGACAAAAGAGUUCCUAUAUUGGAAGGAAAGUAAAUCAUCUCAACAGCAACGGCAAUGUAGUGAAAAGCAUUCAGGUAUGUAUAUAUAAAUAUAACUUCUUUGACCUAUAUUUUUAAGUUAUGUAUCAUUGAAACUUCUUGGUCCUUAUAGAGUGAAGAUGGAGAUAUUAUCGAUUGCGUCUGCAUUUACAAGCAGCCAGCAUUUGAUCAUCCUGCUUUAAAGGAUCAUAUUAUCCAGGUACAAGUACAACACUUCUAGUAUUUUCUUUUAAAUAAAAAAAUUCAAUAAUGUUACCACUAUGUAUUUGAUUCAGAUGACACCCACUUAUGAUCCAAAUGGGAAGACAGUGACAACAGGAUCAGCUGAUACAGAAACAUCCACGACUGUUAUGGCAUCACAAAUAUGGAGAAAAAAUGGAAGCUGUCCUGAAGGAACAAUACCAGUGAGAAGAAUUCACAACUCGAAUUCCUUUGAAGGUUAUGGCAGGAAGCAGCCAAGCUUCUAUCAUCGUGUUAAGCAGCUUAAUGAUAUUAAGCAACCAAACCUUCAGCAACCAAAUCAUUCAGUAAGAUUCAAUCAUACAUGAUGGAGUGAUAAAACUAUACUUAAUUUUUGCAAAUAUGUCUUUAUCUGACUUGGCUUUGUGUAAAAAUAUUAGAAAGCAAUACUGCUUACAGUAGGGUACAUGUUUUCUGGAGCAAAAGGAGACAUCAAAGUCUGGAACCCUUUUGUUGAAUCAGAUGAUGAGUAUAGUACUUCUCGUGUUAGUCUGCAAAGUGGCCCUUACUAUGACUUUGAGAGCAUCGAGUCUGGAUGGGCGGUUAGUACUAAUUUAAUUAUGAAGCCACUCAAUUGUCUUCAAGUUCAUUAUCAUUCAUUAAAGAAUCUCUUAAUCCCCACAAUUCUUUCUUUCUUUUAUUUUAUUUUAUUUUAUUAAUUUAUUAAUUUUUGCCUAAAUUUUCAGGUAAAUCCAAGAGUGUAUGGGGACAGAAAAACUCGAUUAUUUGUAUAUUGGACUGUAGGUUUAUGCCAACCAUGACUUAAAAAUGUUGUAAUGCAUAUUGCUGUAUCAAUAAACAAUGUUUUGUUCAUGUAUUAGGCCGACGCAUCAAAGACAACAGGGUGCUUUGAUGUCACUUGCCCCGGUUUUGUUCAAGUCAGCAACGAGAUUGCGCUUGGUGCAGCAAUUUAUCCCAUUUCAAAUCCUAAUGGGCUUCCAUAUCAGAUCACUAUAUACCUCUUUAAGGUCGGAGAAAAUGCAGCUUUAUUUUGAUUUAAUUAAUAGUUUGCAGGGGAAGCAAUAAUGGAUUUUCACAUUUUUCUGAUGGAAGGUUCUUUUACUUGCAACUUCCUAUUGGUUCAUCUCUUAUCUUUUCUGAUUUCAGGAUCCGGACACAGGCAACUGGUGGAUGCAAUAUGGAGAAAAAAUCAAUGUAGGUUACUGGCCCCCUAAGUUGUUUAGUUUGUUACCCAGUGGUGCAGAAAGUGCCGAAUGGGGAGGCGAGGUCUAUAGCUCGAAGUUGGAGAAUCCUCCUCACACAGCAACAGCAAUGGGAAAUGGGCAUUUUCCUGAUUAUAUUUCCGGUAAUUCAGGCAGUGUCAAGAGAAUUAGAAUUCUUGACAAUUCUCGUACAUUGAAGUUUCCCGAAUGGGUGUAUAGUUACACAGACCAGUACAACUGUUAUGGUGUCGAUUAUGUUGGAGACUACAUUGUAGAUCCUGAGUUCUACUUUGGAGGACCUGGAAGAAAUCACUUGUGCCCUUAAACUCUUGUAACAGAUUCUAGCUACAAACGGAUGCUUGCUGAUUUGCCACCACUUUCUUGGGUGGCAAGCUAAUAUUUUAGAUGCUUCUUAAUUUUGAUUAUUUGCUACUUCUUGCAAAACACGACCGGUCAUAUUUGAAGAUUUGAUAAUUCAGCUACUCAGUGGUCCGCAAGAAUAAAUUCUGCGAAUAAUCUCUUUUGGAUGCUGCACCAUAAAACACAAUUAGCCAGUAAACAUCAGAAUAAGUGGAGCAAAGUAUAAAUGGAAAUACAAAUGUCAGCUUAAUGUGGAGUUUUGACGCUUCCUUUGUUGUUUUUGCCUAUUUCUUGCAGUUUUAUCCAGAGCUUUCCUUUUUCCCUUUUUUUUUUUUUUUCCUUCUACCAAAUAUAACUUUCUGAAUCUGUAUAUUGGUCAGAAUUAGGGAACUUACAACUGAAAUAAUAACACCGCAAAUUAGACACCAUAUGUGGACUCUCCUAGUAAGACAACUUAUUUCCAUUUUGAGAAAAACUUCUGCUGGUGUCUUUGGUUUAGAAUAUUGCUUAUAAAUCAUUUGGCUGAUAAGCAAGGAGUCUAAAUUGAAAUGGAAACAAUAUCAUAGCUUUCCAAAUCAACCUGAAGCAUGGUUAAUACACCCCAAUGCAUUAUGAUAUUAUAUAAUUGUUAUGUUGAAGAUGAAACUGUCAUUGGCUUCAUACUUGCUUCUGAAACAAAAAUGGAGAAUGCCAAAACCAUUUCUGUGCUUUUGCUGGUAACGUUUGUAUCUGUUUUGGGAAAUGGAGUCGAUAGUAAACUUAAAGCUGGACAAACUAUUUCUGAAAUUGAUAGGAGACUGAAGCUUCUCAAUAAGCCUGCAGUAAAAAGUAUUAAGGUAUGUCACAUGCUACUAGUCUAGUACCCCUGGACAAUUUUCGUCACUUAUUAUGUUGGCACUCUAAUGUAAGAGAUUGUUCCCGUAGAGUGAAGAUGGAGAUAUUAUAGAUUGUGUUGACAUCUACAAACAAUCUGCAUUUGAUCAUCAAGCAUUGAAGAACCAUAAAAUUCAGGUGCAUUUAUUAUUAUUCUUACCCCUUCUAUGAUUUGGAGAACAUUUGUUUUCUGAAAAAUGAAGCCUUAAGUGGACUGUCUUCAUUCAUGUAAUAAGCAGCUGAAACCUAGUGUUGAUCUACUGUCGGAGGAAUUGGAUAGAAGGAACGAGUCUCCGCGGCCUGUAAUGAUGCAAACUUGGCAAAAGAGUGGAAGUUGCCCAAAUGGAACUGUUCCCAUUCGCAGAAUCCAGAGGGAAGACUUAUUGAGAGCAGCUUCUCUUGAAAAUUUUGGAAGAAAAGCCCCGGAAAUUCCCUCUUCAGCAAACAAAACAAAUGUUAAAGAAACUCAGUUUAUGUCUUUCAACGAUAGCAAACCAUUAGGAUUUCCUCCCAUAGUUAACCGUUCUGUAAGCCCUCUUUAAGCAGCUGCCAUGUUUUUUUGCCCUUUUUUCAUUUCCUGAACAUAUUUUUUUGUUGCUUAACUCCUAAUUUCUUGAUACACUUCCUGAACCAGGCUGCAUUACUUGUUACAGUCGGAUACAAUUAUAUAGGAGCUCAGGGAGAUAUAAACGUUUGGAACCCAAAAGUUGACUUACCAGAUGAUUAUACUACGGCUCAAAUCUGGCUUAAGGGUGGCCCUGGUGACAAUUUUGAAAGCAUAGAGGGAGGAUGGGUGGUUAGUGCAUUUACCAAAAACAAACAAAAAAUGCCAACAGUUCUAUAUCUUUAUGCUUUGCUCCUAAUCUUAUUAUAAACUGUUUUCCAGGUAAAUCCCAAGUUAUAUGGUGAUAAACUCACGCGUCUAUUUGUGUAUUGGACAGUAAGUACACCAAUUAUCUGCGCAAAAAAAAAAAAAAAAAAAAAAANNNNNNNNNNNNNNNNNNNNNNNNNNNNNNNNNNNNNNNNNNNNNAAAAAAAAAAAAAAAAAAAAAAACUCAUCCCAUAAGUGGAUGACGGUACUUAACUACUUGUUCCAUGCAUGUUCAUCUUAUAUUUGUUUCCAGAGGGAUGGCUACAAAUCGACAGGUUGCUUUGACGCCAUUUGCUCUGGGUUUGUGCAAACAGGACAAAUAGCCCUUGGCGCAACCAUUAGCCCCAUCUCCAGUUCUGGAGGAUCCCAAUAUUAUGUGACUGUUGGCAUAUCCCUGGUAAUAUUUUAAAUUACAUUUUUCUUCCUUUUUGGAUGCUACUAUGUAUGUAAACUCCAUGUCUGUUGAUUUUCAGGAUCCUAACUCAGGAAAUUGGUGGUUAAAACUUAAUGGUAACGUUGUUGUUGGCUACUGGCCUGGAAGUCUCUUUGGUUACCUAAGUCACAGUGCUACAAUAGUGGAGUGGGGAGGACAAGUUUAUAGCCCAAAUGUGAAGAAAACUCCUCAUACAAAAACUGCCAUGGGCAGUGGAGAAUUUUCACAUAGUCUUCAAGGUUCUGCUUGUUCAAUAGAGCACGUUCGAAUUAUAGACUAUUCUCUUCAGCUCAAGUACCCUCAAUGGGUGGGCACUUGGGCUGAUGAAUAUUAUUGCUACGAUGCAUAUAAUUUUGUUGAAGGAUACACAACUGAACCAGUGUUCUUCUUUGGAGGGCCUGGCCAAAAUCCUAAUUGUAAGUGAGAAUCAUGAUUUAAAGCAAAAGCGUUACGUACUCAUUUCAAUGUAACAAAGUAAUUUUCACAGCUCCCCAACUGUAGCUAUACAUCAAAGUAUCCACUCAUUUCAUAUUGUUGCUGUGAAGUUUAAUGGAGCUGAUGUGCCAAAAUCGGAUCCAUUAUGGUAGAGUUUACAUUUUAGAUUGGAGUGGGAAUUCUGAAGAGUGAGAAUCUUGAAAUUAAAAGCGUGGAAUGAGAGUGAGAGUAUGUUAUUUACUUACACUUGAGUGGGAGUAUGAAAUUGUCUUGGAUUGGUAGUAAAUAAUUUAAAUUACAGUUUUACCUUUAUUUAAAGAAUUAUAAUUUUUAAUUACAAAAUUAAUAAAAAUAUAUUUGAAAAAUAAAAUAUUUAUUUUAUUAUAUUUAUAAAUUAAUAAUAAUUAUUAAUAUUCUUAAUUAUGUAAAUCAUAAUCUUUUAUUAAUUUUAAUUUGAAUUAUGUAAAUACAAAAUUUUUAAUAAUAACACAAAUGAAACAUUAUUAUUGAUAAUCUNNNNNNNNNNNNNNNNNNNNNNNNNNNNNNNNNNNNNNNNNNNNNNNNNNNNNNNNNNNNNNNNNNNNNNNNNNNNNNNNNNNNNNNNNNNNNNNNNNNNNNNNNNNNNNNNNNNNNNNNNNNNNNNNNNNNNNNNNNNNNNNNNNNNNNNNNNNNNNNNNNNNNNNNNNNNNNNNNNNNNNNNNNNNNNNNNNNNAGCAGUAUUUUAUUUUAUUAAAUCUAAUAAAAUAAGUAUGUUUAUUAUUAUUUUUAAUAAAUGUAAUUUAUAAUAUAAUAUAAUAAUAUUAUUUAAAUAAAUAUGAUGUUAUUUAUUUUAUUUUAUUAAGAGAAAUUAUUAGUCAUAUACAUAUAUUAUUAUUUUUAAUAAAUAUAAUUUAUAAAAUAAUAUAAUAAUAUCAUUUAAAUAAAUAUUGUUAACUUCCGUUAGAAAGUUAACAGAAUUGUGACAAAUUGACUAUUUUGCCCUUGAAACUCAAAAUGAGGUAAAAAUAUAAAUUUACCCAAAAAAUUAACGUAAAUUUUCAAUACACAAUUUUUUUUUAUUUUUUUUAUUAACAAUACAUUUUUUUGAUUAAAAAAAAGAAUUAUUAAUGGUACAUAAUAUUAACAAUUAUCCAUAAAAAAAUAUCCAUAUUAUACCAUAAAAAAUUAUUAACAAUAUAUUAUUUACAAUUAUACAUAUUAUACCAUAAAAAUUUUUAGUUGGAGCUUGGAGGAGUAGAUCUUCAAAAAUUUAGGUUAAAUUUCAGAGAAGUAGAUUCGGUUGUAAAGUAGUUUUUUUUAGUAAUUAUUAACAAUUAUCCGAUAAAUGGGAUGACAUGUCAUUUUUAUCAAUAUAUAUGAUAUGACAUGUCAUUUUUUACUAGGUAAAUAGGAUGACAUGUCGUUUUUUUAAUCAAAGUUUCGUCAAUCUUAAAAGACUAAAUUACCCUUAUGAUGUCAGCGCUUGCAAACGGAAGUUAACGGAUUGGUGGACGGCAGAAAUUUUUUGUCAACUUAGGGUAUACGAGUGAUACACUUGAAAAGUGUUCACACACGUUUGAUACGAGUGUCAUUUAAAUGUAUAUGAUUGAUAAUUUUCCUUUUAUUAAAUAUUAUUUAUUUUAUUUUAAAUAUAAGGAUAAAAAGGGAAGAGGGGGGAGUGGAUUCAAUCCACUCUCUCCUUAAAAAUUGUAAGUAAAUAUUAGAGUUGGAGGAAUCCAAACUUCUCACUCUCACUCCAGAAAAUAAACACUACAUAUAAGCAGUGCAAUCUAAUAUAUUUUAAAGUAACUAUCAAUUGUCAAUUUGAAGGGUGAAAAAAAUGAAUGGAAAAUACUUCUUUUUUUUAUGUUUGCUUUCGGAGAUUUGCAGAUGCAACAGAGGGGAAUCAAUUGAGAAAGCAAUUCUUUAAUUGUAAGUCAAAAACUUUGUUCUUUUGCCUAUUUUUGUAGGUGUGUUCGUACUCACAACUCAAACGUUAACAAUGAACUAAUAACAGAUAUCUCAACAAGUUUAUCACAAAUUAGUUGUCAUGAGAUGUGGCAUUAAUUGAGUGAUUAUGAUUUUGCACUAUUUUUAAUCCGCCAUUUUACCCUCCACUUGAAGAAAUGAAACCCACGUGAGUUUAGGAUAAACUUUUAGGAUAACUAGCAUUCUUAAACAUUAAUAACACAAUAUAUAUUAAGGAAAUAACUUUUAAGACCUCCGAGGGAAUUAUCCCUGAAUAAGGCAAUUUUGUAUUCCAUUUUUAGAAAAAGAAUAAAUCAGUUGGAUUUGGGUUUGUUUGGAUAAAAUAACUUGAUUGGAACUUUGCAAGAACCCACCUGCAAUGGAAACAAAAAUUUGACUUUUCAAAUGAACUUGAAGCAGGGUUAAUGAGCAAUAAAUAUUACAUAAUUGCACUUUGGAAAAUGACACUUUUGCUUUACAGUGUUUGUGUCAUCAGGAAAUUUCGAUUUUCCAAUCACUCUUGAUGCUUUUGUUUCUGCCGCCAAAGCUGCUUUUGUAACAGAGCAAAAAUGGAGAAAACAGUUUAUUUGUUUUUGUUGUUUGGGGCUAUAUCUACCCUGUGUAAUGGAGUAGAAGUGAACGCUAAAGCUAGAAAAACUCUUCCUGAAAUUGACAGGAAGUUGAAGCUUCUCAACAGGCCUGCAGUAAAAAGCAUUAAGGUAUAAGUGAGUAAUGGUAUUUUACAUCCUUAAUAUUUAUUAAAAAAAAAAAAAUUCACUCUUGUUUUGGGUGGUUGGUAAUGGUAUUUUACAUCCUUAAUAUUUAUUUUACAUCCUUAAUAUUUAUUAAAAAAAAAAAAAUUCACUCUUGUUUUGGGUGGUUGGUACUCACUCCCUUAACUUUUGAGUUUUGCUACCAACCACUCUUGUUACUAACCAUUAACCCAGGAGUGGUUUCUGCUGUAAAUAUUUUAAUACUUAAAAAAAUAAUACUGGCUUGUCAAAAAAUUAAUAGAGCAUCAGCAGUUGUUUUUCCUUUUAAGACGCUGAAAAACUAGCAUUUAUGGUAGAGUUUAUCUUUCAUAGAGUGCACAUAAUGGGAUGUUUCCUUCUGUAGAGUGAAGAUGGAGAUAUUAUUGAUUGUGUUGAUAUAUACAAACAACCUGCACUUGAUCAUCCUGCAUUGAAGAACCACACAAUUCAGGUGCAUUUUAUCAUUUCUCUCUUCUUUUCCUGAGCUACUUAUGAAAGAUCAUGGUUAGAAACUUGCACUGACUACAAUUCUGUUAGAUUUUUACUAGUCUUGCUUCAUACAAUAUGCAGCUGAGCCCCAGUUUUGAUAUACCAGCCGAGAAAGUGGAUAGAAGAAAUGAGUCUUCUAGGCUGCCGGUAACAAUUCAAACUUGGCAAAAGAGUGGAAGUUGUCCAAACGGAACUGUUCCAAUUCGAAGAAUUCGAAGGCAAGAUUUAUUGAGAGCAUCUUCUCUUCAGCAAUUUGGGAGAAAAGUCCCUGAAGUAUCCUAUGCAGCUAAUAGAACAGAUGCUACACACAGCAAAUUUGAGUCUAUAAACAACAAAACGAUCCACCUUGGUCCUCUAGUUGACCGUUCAGUGAGCAGCUGUAGCUUUUUCAUGCCCUUAAUAAAUUCUUGUUGUUUCAAAUUCUCCUAAUUUUCUUGAUGGUACUAAGUACCAGGCUGCACCCCUUCUUACAACACAAUACAAUUGCAUAAAAGCUACUUCUAAUAUUCUCGGUUACAAUUCCUGAACCAGGCUGCAGUACUUGUUACAGUCGGAUUCAAUUACAUAGGAGCUCAAGGAGAUAUAAACGUUUGGAAUCCGAGAGUUGAAUCGCCAGAUGAUUAUACUACUGCUCAAAUUUGGCUCAAAGGUGGGCCUGGUGACAAUUUUGAAAGCGUAGAGGGAGGAUGGGUGGUUAGUACAUUUACCAAUAAUGUAAAUAAAAAUGCUAACAGUUCUACAUAUUUAUGCUUUCUUCCUAAUCUAAUUAUAAUUUUUUUUUUCAGGUAAAUCCAAAGUUAUAUGGUGAUAAACUGACGCGAUUAUUUGUAUAUUGGACUGUAAGUGUAUCAAUUUUCAUUAAAAACUCUCACCCCAGAAGUGAAUUGUGGUUCUUACUUACUGGUUCCAAACAUGUUCAUCUCAGAAGGAUAGCUACAAAUCGACAGGAUGCUUCGAUGCCAUUUGCUCUGGGUUUGUGCAAACAGGACAAGUAGCCCUUGGAGCAGCCAUUGGUCCUUGGUCGAUUUCUGAAGGACCCCAGUAUUAUUUGCCGGUCGGCAUAUACUUGGUAUGAUGGUAAUAAUUUUUUUUUCUUUCUUUUCCUUUAAUGCACCUAAAAAUGUAAAACUCCAUUUUUUUUUUCUUUUUCAAUUUCAGGAUCCUAACACAAAAAAUUGGUGGCUAAAAGUUAAUGGUAACAUUGUUGUCGGCUAUUGGCCUGGAAGUCUCUUCAGUUACCUAUCGUACAGUGCAAUAUUAGUGGAAUGGGGAGGACAAGUUUAUAGCCCAAAUGUGAAGAAAACUCCUCAUACAAAAACUGCCAUGGGGAGCGGAUCAUUUUCACAUGGUCUUCAGGGUUCUGCUUGUUCAAUCGAGCACGUUCGAAUUAUAGACUUUUCUCUUCAGCUCAAGUACCCUCAAUGGGUAGGCACUUGGGCUGACGAAUAUUACUGCUAUGAUGCUUACAAUUAUGUUAAAGGCUAUACUACUGAACCAGUGUUCUUCUUCGGAGGGCCUGGUCAAAAUCCUAUUUGUAAGUGAGAAUUAUGAAUUAAAGCAACAAGCAUAAUGAAAUCAGUGUAAUAUAACAUAGUGAUUUUCACAGCUCCUUAUCUGUUACUGUACAUCCAAUUGGUGAAAAACAUCAACGUAUCCGCUCCCUUCAUGAUGUUGCUGUGAAGAUUAAUGGAGCUGAUAUGCCCAAAACGGAUCCAUCAUAAGCUGUGAAAUCCAAAGUAUUUUUAACUAGUAAUCAGUUGGCAAUCCGAAGGUGCAAAGUAUGAAUGGAAUUGCUUAAGUAUGUUAGCUUUAGAGAUUUACAGAUACAACAGAUGGGAAUGAACUGAAAGAUAGCUAUUCUUUACAGAUAAUAUGUUAGCUAUGGAGAUUUACAGGUACCUGACUGAUAAUGUACACGGGGCAUAAGAUUGCUAAGGUGAAAACUAACAUGAGGAGAGGAUCCUAUCCGCUAUAGGUGUAUUCGCACUAACAAUUCUCUUAUCACAACAUAUAUUAAGGAGUAAGUUUUAAGAUCUGUCUGGGAAUUCUUCCUGAAUAGACAAAUUUGUCUUCCAUUUUUAGAAAAAGAAAAAGAAAAUCCACUGCUUUUGUUUGGAUUAGGCUACCUUAUUAAAUAACUUGCCUGGAACUUUGCUAGAACCAACUUGAAAUGGAAACAGAAUUAAAAGAUUAAUCGACUUUCCAAUAACUUGAAGCAGGGUGUUUGAACACCAAUGAUUAUUUAAUUGCACCUUGAAGAUGAUAAUUUAGCUUUACAAUAUCUUCGUCAUCUGGGAUUUUCCUACAAGUCCUGUUGGCUUUUGUGAGAAAGCACAUAUGGAGAAAACAGUCUGUUUGCUUUUGUUUAUAGUGGCUGCAUCUAGUUUGAGUAACGGAGUAAAAGUGAAUGCUAAAGCUAGAGAAACCCUUUCUGAAAUUGACAAGAAGUUGAAGCUUAUCAACAAGCCAGCAGUAAAAAGUAUCAAGGUAUGGCAUACAAUAAAUAUUUAGAUCUUAUCAAGUUCUAAACUUGGGAGGCCAAUGUUGUAUCAAUGAGUCCAAAAGUGAUUAAGGGUGGUUUUUCUUCUUAAACUUGUAGUAUUUAAAAAUCCCACUGGCUUGUCAAAUGUUUAAUAGAGCGUUGCUGGGCAGUUUUUGUUAUUAAGAUAGUGAAAGAAUAGCAUAUACGGUAGCCAUUUUCUUCCAUAAAGUGAUGAGUUCUUUAAUAACAUAAUGUGAUGGUUCCUCCUGUAGAGUGAAGAUGGAGAUAUUAUCGACUGUGUUGAUAUCUACAAACAGCCUGCGUUUGAUUAUCCAGCAUUGAAGAACCACACGAUUCAGGUACAUCGAUCAAUUCAUUUUUCAAUUUCCGAGCCACUGGUGAAAAGAACCAAAGGUAGAAAGUUCCCUUUCUAUCAAAAAUACAAAGAAUUUUGCACUUGCAAGAACUUUGGUUAUUUUCUCACUUGUCUUUGCUUCAUGUUAUAUACAGCUGAGGCCCAGUUUUAAUAUACCAUCUGGGAAAUUGGAUAGAAGAAAUGAGUCUUUUAGACCAGUAGCAGUCCAAACUUGGCAAAAGAGUGGAAGUUGUCCGAAUGGAACUGUUCCAAUUCGAAGAAUUCGAAGACAAGACUUAUUGACAGCAGCUUCUCUUGAGCAGUUUGGGAGAAAAUUCCCAGAAAUUUCCUAUGCAGCCAACAAAACAGAUGCUAAACACAGCAAAUUUGUGUCUCUAAACAGCAAGACAGUCAAUCUUGAUCGUCUGGUUAACCGUUCAGUGAGCAGCUAGAGCUUUUUCACGCCCGUAAUUAAUUUCCAUUGUUUAACUUCUCUUAAUUUUCUUGACGGCACUUCAUGUACCAGGCUGCAGUCCUGCUUACAGUAGGAUACAAUUACAUAGGAGCUCAAGCAAAUAUAAAUGUCUGGUGUCCAAACGUUGAAUCAACAGAAGAUUAUACCACUGCUCAAAUCUGGCUUAAGGGUGGGCCUGGUGACAAUUUUGAAAGUGUGGAGUCAGGAUGGAUGGUCUGUACAACUACCCAAAGCAUGCUUCACAAAACAGUCAAUGCUAACAAUUUAGCAUCUUUAUAUUUUUCUCUAACUUUACUAUAAUCUCUAUAUUCAGAUAAAUCCCAAGUUAUAUGGUGAUAAACUCCCACGAUUUUUUGCAUACUGGACUGUAAGUAUAUUUUCUACUAAAGCUUCUCUAAACUACUUUGGAUUGCAAGUACAGUAGCUAAUUUGUUCCAUGUCUAUCUCAAUUUUUUUAGAGGGAUGCUUACAAAUCAACCGGUUGCUUCGACCUGACCUGCACUGGUUUUGUGCAAACAGGCACUCAGAUUGCCCUUGGUGCAUCCAUUAGUCCUUGGUCUAGUACUGCCGGACCCCAGUAUUACAUUCCCAUUGCCAUGUCCAGGGUAACAAUUUAUAUCUGCUUUUUCUUGGUUAAGUUGAUUGUUUGAAGUUAUAAAUCAGCAGUAAAUAUUUAAUGAAGUCCAUUUUUAUUGAUUCCAGGACCCUCAAACAGGAAAUUGGUGGUUAAUGUAUGGCGAUGCUGUUAUUGGGUACUGGCCUGGAGCUCUCUUUGAUUACCUGAAGCAAAGUGCAAUCUUUGUUGAAUGGGGAGGGCAAGUCUACAGUCCAAAUGUGAAGAAAACUCCACACACCAAGACUGCUAUGGGCAGCGGAUCAUUUGCAAGUUCGCUCUACGGAUCAGCGUGUUACAUUGACCAUAUUAGAAUCAUUGAUUAUUCUCUCCAGCUCAAGUACCCGCAAUGGGUAGGCACUUGGGCUGAUGAAGAAGAUUGCUAUGAUGCAUAUAAUUUAAUUCAAGGAUAUACUGUUGAACCUGUAUUCUUCUUUGGAGGGCCUGGUCAAAAUCCUCACUGUAUGUAAUGUGAGGAUAAGAAUGAAAAUGAAACGAAAUAUUGCAGUGCAAUCUUGCUAAUCGCGGAAGUUAAUUAUUUGCAAGAAAGUUGUGAUCUGUUUUCUUCCUUGUAUCAAUGAGAACAUCUAAAGUCAUGUUGAAUGGAUUGAUUUUGUGGGAAGAAAAGGAAGUUCUGCCAUAUGAAGAGAAGAAUAAAAAUGGUGCUUUCUCAAUGACCCCUGCUGUAUUUCCAUAUAUAAAAAUAAUCCCCACUUAGAGGAAUCUGAAUAGUCAAAGUAAAUCAAUAAGGUUUCGUUAGCAAUAGGUGAGUGAUUUGAAUUUGCAAUGGCUGCCACUAUUUCAAUCCACUGUUGCUUGCAUUUGACUCUAGUUAUCACCGGUCUCAUGUUGAUUCAUGGAUUUGCUAAAGAGAAAACUGCAAUGAUAAAAAACAAAGAGAAGCUUAUCAAGCAUAAACAUGCUUUUAAGUUUUAAAACCAUUUCAGGUUGUGAUUACCAUAACUUUUUUCUCAAUUCAUUUGGUAGGAUGAUUUCAUAGGGAUGUAUUUGCUUCUCGAAAAUGGGGUUAGUGUCGACUGCAUUGACAUCUACAAACAACCGGCUUUUAAUCAUCCUCUUCUCAAGAAUCACAAGAUACAGGUUUCUUGGUUUUAUAAGUACUUGGUGCAAAUUUAUAAGCACAUAUGGUAAACCCCUUCGAAAUUGCUAUUAUUUCAAGUGACUAGUACUCGGUAAAUGCUCUUGUUUCUGAUUUUCCUUAGAGUAAUUAACAGAUGAAGCCUACUUCACACCCAGAACAAAAGAAAUCUAUGGCCUCCAAAAAUUCCCACACACAGCUUAUUCAACUCAAGGCAGUCGACUGUCCAGAAGGAACAGUCACCAUUUUAAGAACUCGCCAGAUGGUAAUCUUAUGGACACUCGAUCAAGCAGAAGUGCCACCUAUGGAUUCGGCUUUAACAGCAAUGAAUAUGAGGUUAAAUAUAACAUGUAACAAUGAAUAAUGCCGCCUAUAAUACUUUUCACAUUCUGCUAAUCAUUUUCGUUGAUGCAGACUUAAAUAUUGCUGAUGCUGGAUGGAUAUGCAUUCAUGGCUUCAACGUAUACAUUUUACGCAUAUGGAACCUUUGAUACAUGCUCUUCCAAACUGGAUAUGAUUAAAUAUGUAGAAUGUUGAUUUUAAACAAAGAGAACAGAACACAGAGAAAUUGGGGCUGUUAAUUGCAUGUCAUUCAUUGUUGCAGUAUCUGAAUUUAUUCAAAGAAAAGAAACAAACAAAGCCAAAAAAUCUGCCUACAUAUCUUUAACAUAUAUCUGAUAUCAUAAAUUCAAAAACAAAUUGUUCCUACAAUCUUGCAGGAUAUUAUUGACAGCAUAAUCAUAUCUUUGCUGUUUUUAUUUUUGCUCAAAUCCUGCAGCAAAUAUAGCAUUGUCAUCAUAGAAAUAUUGAACCAGAACUUGGAGCAUAUUUCGUCGCUCUUAUUAUUUUGAUCAUAGUCUAAUUGACUGUUUAUGGGUAUAUUUUUUUCGCGUUUUUAGGUGAAUCCAACACUAUAUGGAAACAACCUUUCACGGCUAGUUGCAUUUUUGACAGUGAGCUUUAAUUAUCAUAGAUUCUCUUAAUCAUAUAAAUUGUCAAUGUUUUUGCUUAACAUGCAUGUUAAUUUUCCAUAUUGUAUGUCAAAUUCAGAAAGAUAAAUUCAGCAAAACAGGUUACCAUGAUCUCAAAUGCUUUGGUUUCGUUCAAGUGUCCAGUACACAGUAUCUUGGCUGUGUACUAGAGCCUGUUUCUGAAGAUGGUGAUUACAACCACCAAUAUGAAGUUUUUAUUGCGAUUUACAAGGUAAUUUACUCAUGCUUUACGCCAUAAAAUUGCAUGCUCAAAAAAAUUAGCAAGUGUUUCAGGAUAUAGGCUCGAGAAGUUCGUGGUUAAGAUAUAAGGUGUAAGCAUCGGAUACCGCCCAACUACAAUUUUCACAAAACUGGCAGACAGAGCCAACAGGGUGGUCUGGGGGUGUAGAGUCUACACAUUCCAGCAAAAAUGGGCACACAUUAAAAACAAGGCGGUCUGGAUGCCAUGCUUUUUUUUAUUUGAGUCUACAAGGAGGAGAAAAAAACGACCGGGGCAGUUUCUUUUAUUAUGGUAGUUUUGCAGCUUGGUAUGAAUGCCAAUAACAUAUAUAAAAAUAUUUGGUAAUUAAUGUGACAUGCUUACGCCUGCAGUUAAAUAAAUUUGUCAAGAAAUUCCAAUAGCACAGCAUAGUAAAGGCUCAGUUCAUGAUAAGUGUUUGUAUUGCUACAGAUGUGACAAGCCUACAACAUACGAGGGAAGUCAGUUUUGUGGACUUGGCUAUGUUGCAACUGUAGUACCGUGCCACAAUUGCAACUCAUUAGAUCCACUUGGAUCCACUGUUGCAACCCUCAUCCAAGUGGAUCCAAUGGCUGGUUGCAACUGUGGCACGGUACUACAGUUGCAACAUAGCCGGACCCCAGUUUUGUCAGUGGAAAAACUGUCGUCCCCUUCCCUUAUGGAGAGAUCUAUCCCUCUGCCUAGGAAUAAUCUUAAACACAAAAAUAUUUUCAUACUAUACAGACUUCCUGUAUCCUUCUAGAGAUACCUACAUAUGAAUAAGAAUUAUAAUCACAAUCCAUAAGAGAAAAUACAACAUAUCACACCAAAAAAGGAGAGCAGGGAAGGACCAAGCAACACUCCGAAAGAGAAUCGCAGAAUUUAACCAGCCAGAUUUUAUUUGAUGUAAAAAAGCUAAAUUGAGUCAUACUGUUUCCUCUCUUCUUGUAUAGACUGGAAAAUUCGAGCCACAGAUUCAGUAGCUGAUCUAGGAUUGUGAGGCACAACUUUGAUCACUUUUGUUGGCUGGUCUGCAUCAUGAGGCUGAGGGGCCGCCUCCUGAACAACUGGAGACACGGUAGAAACUUGAAGUGCAUCUGUACCUUCAGCAGCAUGACCCAUCCCAUCACCUCGCACUCUCUCACCUGGACUACUUGCCGUACUUCCUUGUAACUCUGUGUCUUUAGAUGCCUGAAACUGCCUUACUGGUGGAACAGCUCCAUUCUUCUGGGCUGGUACAUUACAGGAGCUCUCUUGUGGCAUGUAAAAAUUAGCAUCUCCUUGAGAGAAUUGAUCACGCGAACCUGGCACAGCAAACUGAUUCUUUUGUUCAGCAGCUGAACCUGAGACCGAUGGGUUCAUAACUGGCAUGCCAUAAGGUGGGAAGUAACCAUGACCAACUAGAUGAGCACCAGGCAUAACCCCAUUUCCUUGAAGAGGAAUAGGUGAUGUAAUCCCAUAGUCUGGAUGCAUAAAAUUACCUGUCAGAGGUGCUGGGCCAAAAGGUGAACAUCCUCCCCCGCAAACUGUUCCCAUAAAUCCAGGUCCAGGAUAUGGCUUGUAUAUAAGCCCCUCCGAAGGGGACAUAACAGGAAUCAACCACUGCUGCCCAGGCGAUUGAUGAAAACACCAAUGAGCCAUUCUGGAAUUGGUGGCUUCCAUUGGUGGAGGUUGGUUUGCA
rnacentral:lncRNA from 1 species